rnacentral:miRNA from 1 species
UCUCCCAGUAAUGUGGUCGGAGGUGGGGUUGGGCCUGGGGUCUGCGCCGUUCUCCUUUGCCCAUCCCUACGGCCUAUC